UGCAGGGCUCAACCCCACGAACCAGAGAAGUCAUGUCCUGAGCCCAAAUCAAGGGCCAGGUGCUCAACCCACUGAGUCACCCAGGCGCCCCAGCCUUUGCUUUAACCAGUGGAGGGACUCCCCAGUGCUUGGGAGAGGUCAUCAAUUUCCAUUUCCUCGAGCCUGGAGGUCUCUGGAAUGGUGAAGCUGUGAAAGUCCAGAUCCUAGCUUUGAAGUCUGCAGUGAAGCCGUGCAAACCCAGGGGUGGAGGAGCUGGCUAGUCAGUUUCAGUUACCUGCGCCAAAUGCUCUUCAGGUGUGGAUGAGCCUCCCUUUGAGGAAUCAUCAGAAGGACAAUUAGUAGCCUAUCGCCAAGUCUCAGUGCUUACAUCAUUCACCUACGUCAUCUUAUCACGUAGCCGUUUAUCUUCUCCCUUCGUCCGAAGGUGUUAGAGUUAGGAUUGCAAGAAACCUGAAAAGACAAUUUCAUUUCCAGUGCUGGAUGGGGAGAAACAUCGCUUGCAAAUAACAGUCAUGAAAAGCGUUCCCAUUCCAACCCUGGGAAAUAAAGUCAGUAUGCAUUUCUUGAGUGAGGAAACCAGAACUCAGAGUCGUUCGAUGACUGGAAGGCCUACCCAGUUAGCAAGUGGCUGAGCUGGGACACAAACCCGGGGCUGGGUGAACAUAUUGCCUGGAAAGGCAACCUCCAUCUUGUGACCUUGAGGCAACAUGCUGAAAACAACUGAGAAGAAAGCUAGAAAGGCCUGAUUCCUUGAAAGCUGAACCAAGCCUGCCAUUGCCUACCUCCUGACUACUCAUGAGUUUGGUCUCAGGGGAACUUCUCAGUCCCCUUCCAUAAUACUGGCAUCUGGCUCCAGAGAUGUGUGGGGCAUGCCACAACAGCUGCUUAACUUUAAUCGACACACUAGAGCACAUGGCCACAUGUGGACCAUUGGGCGCUCCAAAGCACCAGGAGAUGAUCCAAGUAGAAGAAGUGGUAAAGACCUUCCCAGCAUCAUUGUUACCAUUACAUCAAGAUUUUCAGGCAUGGUAGAUAGUUGAUUGUACAUUCAAAACUGACAUGUUCCUUGGAAACAUCUCUUCCAUCUCAUGCACCGUACAACAAAAGCUACAAUCAGCAACCUGAAAGAAGAUAUUGCUAACAGCAGAAUCUUUGUGACAGAGAAUUCAAGAAACCGAUUAUUUUAAAUGAAUGAGACGUCUCAGGAUUUCUUAGGGAUAUGCACUAUCAGAAAAUAUUCUGGGCCAAGAACACUCUGCAGAAUCCCCCAGCAGAAGAUGAGGCAUGUCAAACACCCACAGACCAAGAGCAAUAAAGUGUAAAUAAUUUAGAACUCCUUGAUAUUAUCCUGCCUACUCAUCACAUACAUCUUCAAUAAUUAAUUCAGCUCAGUCUUUAAAGAAAUUCUCUCUACGUAACAAAUCAUUCUUUCUGUGUUGCCUGUUAACAACAGGAGAUCAUUUCCUGUUUGGGAUUUGUCCUUCCCAAGUAAGGUGCAUUUAUUUGUACUGGAGGCAUUUUCUUGCUGUUGCUGGUUUCCAUGGACAUAUUCUGCACAUGCUCAGUGAGCAACAUGGUUCUGAUCAGAAUUCUCCUUAAGGAACUCACCAUUAUCAGGAUCUGUUUUAAUGAUUUAUAUAUGUUGACCUAAGUCCCAAAGAAAUUCUAUUACCUAUUACUUCUCUAUUUUACAGGUGAAGAAAAUGUUUAGAUGAUUGGAAUAGAAUGCUUCUGUCAUAUCUGUCUACCCCCAACACUGAUAGAUCAGUGCCUAGCAUAUUCACCAUGGGAACAAGACUGUAUAUAACUCACACACAGUGUUAACUGGGUUAAUUUGGUGCAGAAAAAAAAAUUGUCUUAUUUCACAAGAAGCUGGUCCCUUUAAGUAUCUGAUUACUGAAUCCUGCUAAAUCAUUCACACACAGAAAGCCUUGGAGGAUGGGGAAGGAAAGUGACAGGGUAAUUGAAAAUAGCUGAGAAACAGUGACAUCAAAUGCUUCCAAUAUAAAAGAGGGACAUCAGCUGCAGGAGAAGAUUUACAGGUGUAGGGAAGGAAACUGGAGCAUGUUUAUAUUUUGUAGGCUGCAGUUUGCUCCAGAGAUGGAAAUUAUUCCAGGAAAGAGAGGGAAGGCGCUGCUAUAGAUGGGAAGGACAGUUGAGCAGAAACCCCAAGACCCAAAGAAGAAUCAGAUCAGGUAAAUUCAGGACACAGUGACUCUAAGUAAUGUAGCAAUAGCAAAGUGGGAUUUACAUAGUAUUUAUGCCUUAAGGAUUUGCCUCCUAAAAGAACGGAGAAGGUCAAAGCAGAGGUGUCAUAUAUUAAGGAACGACCUGUCUUUUUUUUUGUAUGUUUUCAUUUUUUGUUUCACUUGCAUAUGCUAUUUAUUUGAGGUUUUUAAAAUUGAGAUAUAAAAUAGAAGAAAGUGAAAUGUGUAAAGUAUACAAAUCUUAUGUGUAUUAGCUUCACGAAUUUUUACAUAUAAAUAUACAUUGAUGUAAUCAAAUUCCAGAUCUAGAUACAACAUAUUUCUACCACCCCAGAAAGCUCCCAGGCAAUACCCACCAACCUCUACCAGAAGUAAAGACUAUUCUUCAAAUGCCGUGAGUUAGUUUUGCCUGUCCUUGGUAAAUCAUACAGAUGAAAUCAGACAGUAUAUACUCUUUGGGCUCCAGCUCUUUCACUCAACAUAAUGUCUGUAAGAUUCAUCCACAUUAUUGUAUUUAUCAUCAGUUUGUUCUUUUAUAUUAUGGUUUUGUAUUCCAUUGUAUGACUACACUCCUAAUUGAUGUAGCUCUUCUCUUGAUGGACGUAUAUGCUGUUUCCAGCUUGGGACUAUUAUGAAGAAAGCUGCUAUGGAUUUUUUAUCAUUUUUUGUUGUUACUGGACAAAUGCACUCAUUUCUUGUCCAUCUAUACCUAAGAGUGGAAUGUCUGGGUGAUAGGGUAGAUAUAUGUUUCGCUUUAGUUGAUGCUUUUGGUGGACAUUAUAAUAAUUCCCUCAGAUUCCUCCUAGCUGCUGGGACUUCUGCCAGCUGUCAGCCCUCUUUGGGAAUUGCUUCAGCUAAAGAGUGCUUAUUCUUCAGCUCACACCUAUGACCACAUGGGAGAUCCCUUAAGACCAGAUGACAGAGGAGAAAAAAAGCCUGAGUUCACUUCAUAGAUGGGUUGGUUUGUCAAAACCAGAUGACAGUUGAUACUCAUUGAUGAACCCAAAGACAAUGGUGAGGGGGACCCUCUCAAUGAGCAGAGCUUUGGACAUUGAAUCUGGUCAUCCUCUUUGUGCGAUGAGAGUAGUAGUCAGGGGGUAAAAUAUACACAGAUUCAUGGACAACAGCAAAUGACUUAACCAGCUGAUAAUGGUUUGCAAGGAAACAGGAAGGUCAGAGACAAAGAAAUCUGGGGUAGAAAGAUGUGGAUGGACAUACGGGAAUGAGCUUGUCGUAUGGAGAUCUUAGUAUUUCAUGUUAACACUCCACCCUGGGAAAAACCAUUACAAAUCCAGACAGACCAUCAUUAAAACAGUUGACAUCAGCCCCUCUCAUUGGCCAUGCCAGUGCCAGCAUAAUGGACAUAUGAAUGGAGUAAUCAUGGUAGGAAUGGAGACUAUCUGUGGUACCAGCAGCAUGCCUCCCAGUUACAAAGGUUGAUCUUGCCCAUGCUGCUGUUGAAUGUCCAACCUGCUAGCAACAGUGACCAAUCAGUGGUAAGUCUCUGAUACAGUCCCAUCCCUCAAGUAGGUCAACUAACUCCCUGGUGGCAGGCUGAUUACUUAAACGUCUGUCAUCCUAGAGGGACAGUGCUUCAUUUUGACAAUACUAGAGACAUAUUUAGAUAUGGGUUUGUCUCUCCUGCCCACAGAGUUAAAGCCAACUCUACUGUCUGAAGUUUACAGGGUGAUCCACCACUUUACAGCCAAACAUCUCUGUGACUGGGCACAUGACUAUGGGAUUCACUAGUUACAUCAAAUGCCGUAUAACCCAGAAGCAGCUAGCCUGAUAGAGUGAUGGAAUAACCGGUUGAAGGAACAGCUCACGUGCCAAUUUGGAGAUGGUACCUUGCAGGACUGGGUGCCAUCCUCCAGGACACAACCUACACUCUAAAUCGGUGACCUUUAUGUGGCUCUUUGUCCCCAGUAGAUUGAAUACAUUGGCCUAAGAACCAAGAAAUAGAAGGAGGAAAGGCUUGACAAUAACAUGACUCCCAAUGACGGAGAGAUUUUGUGCAUCAUAUCCCUGCAAGUCUGGGCUCUGUGGGUUUAGAGGUUCUGGUUCCAAGAAGGGGAACCCUUCCACUAGGGGACUCAGCAAGGAUAUUACUGAAAUAUGACUGCUGCCCACACAUUUUUCUCUCUUUCUGCCAAGAGACUUAAUGGUAAGAAAAGGAACCACUAUUCUGGCAGAAAUAAUAGACCCAGAUGAUCAGGAGGAUGAUAUAUAUUAUAUCAAUAUAAUUGAUAUCUAGGUGACUUAUCUGGUUGACUCUUGAUACUCCUGUGCCCAGUUUUGGUGGUAAAAGAAAUCCUGGCCUGAGAAAAGCACUGUAACCAGAGACUCAGCUCUCAGGAAUGAAGGUCUGGUUCACACCAUCAGGUAAGCCUGUGAGACCAGUAGAGUUGGUAACUGAGGGUAAAGGAAGGUCAGCCUGGGUCACAGGAGAUGUGGAUGCUAUCAGUCCCACCUGAGAUGGCAGAGACUACAGUUUGUCCAAAAAGAACCCGUAGGAAUUUUUAGAGGAGCUAUUCUUGAACCUUUAUGAGGAAGCAAACCUGGGUAGUAUAACAGAUGGACUGUGGUGGAGCUCCGAUGUGCCACUCUGACCCCCUGUUGGGAAUGAUGGGCCAUUUUCCUUGCUCCUGAGAGUACAACUGGAGGACAGCCCAGGGAUUGCCUUGGCUGGGGAGAGGUGCCUUACCCAAGAUCACAACUCUGUCCCAGGCCAGUCCACAUCCAAUGAUUGAUCAGUCUUCAGUGACUGGUCUGAGGCAUAAAACUGAGCUCCCUAUCUAUCCCCAACCCAGAACAACUCUGAAUGGCCACCCCAGCUUUAGUGCUCAUCAUGAGGUCUUUCCUGAGACUGCCUUGUAGCCCAGCUCUGCCCUCAGCCCCAACCUCCUUCCUGUGCUUCCUUUUCCUUUCCUUUCCCAGGUGCCAGUCCCAACAGUACGUCCUAAUGAAUUUAUCUUCAUCACAGAGCUUGCUUCCUGUUUUCUGAAGUGUCUCGUCCAACUUACAUCCUCAUUUGUGAUAUAUGAAGAUUCUAAUUGUUCCCUAUCCUCACCAAACUUGGUAUUGUCAGUUUUUUAAAUUCUAGCCAUUGUAAUGGGUAUGUGUGGUGGUAUCUCACUGUGGUGUUAAUUUGCCUUUUCCUAAUGAAUAAUGAUGUUGGAUACCUUUUUAAGUGGUCACCAGGUAUUUAGAUACUGUCUUUUGCCCAUUUUUAUGGAGUUCUUUGACUUUAUUGACUUAUAGGAAUCCAUUACGAAUUUGUAUUUGAGCCCUUUGUCACAUAAAUGUAUUGCAAAAAAUUUUUCCAAAAUGGUAGCCUGGUCUUUUCACUUUUUUU